CCACCUCUCGCCUCCGCCGCCCCCCCUCUCCACCGCCGCCCGCCUCAGACCGCUCUCCCCUCUCAGACCCAUCCUCCCUCCUCUCCUCUCCGCCCAAUGUUCGAGCAGCCGCCCUGAUUAAGCGCGCCCGCAAAGGCCGGGCGCCCGCGGAUUGGCACCGCAGCACCCUGCUCGCCGCUCUCACGCCUACGCAACGUUGCAGCCUCUCAGCCGCAGAGGGUCCAAGAUGGGUCUCUUCGCGUAUGAGCAGGCUCUAACAUGACGGCCACGGUCAUGGACAGGUACCACCAGCGCUCUCAGAGAGGGUUUGAAGCCAAAUUUACUUAUCUAUAGCGCCGUGAUCAAUGCAUUGUGCAAGGAUGGUAAUGUUAGGGAUGCAGAGUCAAUCAUGAACGAGAUGUCUGAGUCUAGGAUGUUAGGAUGAAGCCCGACACAUUCCACCUACACGUCAAUUGUUCUUGGGAUUUCCAAUCCAAUGGAUAAAGAGGGGUGUGUGCCAAACGCCGUGACAUACUCAACCCUAAUCAAUAAGCUGUGCAGUAGUGUGAAGGUGAAUGAGGAAUUGGGUUUGAUUGGCAAAAUACACAGUGUGACAUGGGGCUGCAUUCAAGAUGCCUGGAAGCUGUUUCUUGAUAUGAAAAAGAAGGGAUGCAGACCAACUGUGUAUACGUGCACAUCACUUAUAGGUGGGCACUUAUUCUGUCAAAAAAUCACUUAUAGGAGGGCAGUGUGUGUCAAGGAUGGCCAUUGGACUAUUUCAUAGGAUGGCAAGAGAUGGUUUGCUCCCUAAUACAGUGACAUAUAAUGGUUCGAUGAAUGUUCUGGUGGACUGGGGGAGGGUAAAAAAUGGAUUCUGCACUUAUUGUUUGUAAUGUGAUGCAGGGACAUGGUUAUUUACCUGACACCGUGACUGACAUACAAUGUACUGAUCAAGGGCUAUUGCGCAAUUGGUAAUACCGAUAAGGCAAUAUCCAUGCUGAUCAAUAUGUUGGAGGGCAGAGCUAGAGCUACACUUGUAAUAAUUAUAGGCUUGCAAAAUAAAUACCUCAUGGUGGACCAGAAACUUAUAGCCUUUCCUGAUGCAGUCUCGGACCGCAACUUUGAUGACCAAAUAACCAAUAGUGUCGAAAAUGAUCUUAUAUUUUUGGACGGAGGGAGUAACAAAGAUGACAUUUCAGUCUUGUGUUCUUAAUUAGCAGAACUGGAUCUUGGACUAUCUCAACAGUUGUAUGAUGCAUUGUUGUCUGGAUUAAGCAGAAGUCAGAGAUGGUUUAAGGCAGAGAAGCUGUACAGACGCAUGGUUGGUUAGGGUUUAUGCCCAAACCAGGAGGCAUGUAAUUAUUUUGUUAUUUCACUUUUGAGAGCCCUGAAAGUUGACCGACUAUGGAUGUAUUCAGAAAUAUGUCUUCUCAGUGUCGUGAGCUCCACCUUGUUGGUUAUAAAGAACUAAUAUGUGCUUUAUGCCAACUUCAUAGAAGAAAUUAAGCCCAAUUUGUAUUUGAAGACAUGCUAUCGAGGAAUUUUAGUUCUGAUAACAUUGUAUGGACUGUUCUCAUCAAUGGACUGAUUGGGGCCGGAUACAAAGACUUGUGCGUGGAGUUUCUGCACAUUAUGGAAAAAAAUCAUCAUAAGCGUAGCUUCUGUAUGUGCACAAUUGUAGCAAGGGAAGCAUUGAAAGAGUAGCCAUAGAAUCAGCUGGACUUGAUGCACUGCAGCAAUUUGGGAUUUUCUUGUGAUGCCUCAUGUGCCAGAGCUGUUAAUCUGGAGUGAGUUAGAUGGCUAGAGGGACCUUUUCAUUGUUUUGCUACUUGGUCUUCCUUGAUCCUUGUUAUCUAUUCCCAAGGCUUCCGCAUUGUGGUUCCAGUGAGAUCAAAGAAUGCCUAUGUGCAGCAAGUUUCAUAUCCAGUUUAGCUGUUACACGCUGAACAUUCCCAUCAUUUUGCACUCUACACUGAAUCACUGAUUACCAACCUCUAUUUCAAACCUCAGGAUUCCUAGGGAUUGUCAGAAAUGGGAGCCAGAGUUGGAAGACCCAAAAGAUCAAUUCCGUGAAUACUUCCCGAUUGGCCCUUUAAUUGGAAAGUGGUGCAAGAUGCAUCAGGUGAUAUACCUCUUACACUGUCCGCAUUUUGCAUAGGCAUAAAAAAAAGCUGUUUUCCCUGCAAUAAACUGAGACUGAAAACAUAUGCACAGUGUAAAGCUGUUACCAAUUUCCUGGACUCUAUUUGGACAAGUCCCUUGUGAGUUGCGAGCAUGGUUGCCUUGCUCGCUGCUCGUGGGCAUGGGAAAUCAGCCACCUUUGGUCUUGCUAUUGCUAGAGCCAUCGCAGGUGGGUAAGCUCAACCAGAUGAGCCUCCCCAUAUGAGCAUGCCUUGUUGGGAUUUAGCUUCUACUUAGGCCAAAGGGGCGGACCACGGUGCUCCUAUGCAAGCCAACACAAUGGAAAGCAGCACGCAGGCCCUCCGAACUGGGUCACAUAAAUGUAUGAGUGCAGCAGGCACAACAUGUCAACAACUUGGGGCCUCCUUGGGCUUUAACGACGGUCACCCCCAACCGUGUCACGUUCAUCGGUCUUAGGACCGGUUCCAAUCCUAGCACAUGACAAUCUGAUACUCUAUAUUUUGGUUCAGAAAACAAUUUUUCUCUGUGUUUUUGAACUUGUAGAAUUCUUCCUAUUGCAUGCUUAGAAGCUCCAGCCGUUUACUGGGGGCAUCAAUAUCUGCCAUUUCUAGCUACUGAUUAGUUAAGCAGGCAGGAACAACAAAUUGCGAUGCCAGGUCACCUCAAGUUGAACUUGCACAGGAUGGUGAACAGAUGCAUGAUCACUGCCAUUCCAUUUAGUGGACUGACCUGCCCAAACUGAUUUCAUGGACGCCAAUUGGUUCAGAAACCGCUAUGCUGCUCGCCGUUACCAGCAUGUACCAAUACUUGAGUCUGAGAAAGAAAGAGCAACCAAACCUGUUUUGGGCUUUCAUGCAUGGUUGCAAUUUUUGGAGCUCAAAGUCA